GACGAAUGCUGGCUGCGUGCUUAACACAUGCAAGUCGAACGGUGAAGGAGGGCUUGCCCUCCGGAUCUAGUGGCGAACGGGUGAGUAACACGUGGGCAACCUGCCCCUCACUCUGGGAUAACGCCGGGAAACCGGCGCUAAUACCGGAUACGACUAGACGCGACAUCUCGUCUGGUGGAAAGAAUUUCGGUGAGGGAUGGGCCCGCGGCCUAUCAGCUAGUUGGUGAGGUAACGGCCCACCAAGGCGACGACGGGUAGCCGGCCUGAGAGGGCGACCGGCCACACUGGGACUGAGACACGGCCCAGACUCCUACGGGAGGCAGCAGUGGGGAAUAUUGCGCAAUGGGCGAAAGCCUGACGCAGCGACGCAGCGUGAGGGACGAAGGCCUCGGUUGUAACGUACUUCUAGCGGGACGGAAGCGAAAGUGACGGUACCGCCGAGAAGAAGACACCGGCGUAACUACGUGCCAGCAGCCGCGGUAACGUAAGU
rnacentral:rRNA from 1 species